rnacentral:misc_RNA from 1 species
AACACCUAGUCAUAAUUGCUACCAUCAGGUGGGAUGUGGAUAACUUUUUGUGGUUUCUUGCCCUUGUGGCAGAUCUGCACUUCAGAGAGAGAGCACUCGAUCAAUCUGCUUGUUUAUGUGUUGAAAUAUCAUAGUGCCUGCAUGUUGUCCUGUUAGUUUGCAGGUGUGUUGUAGAGAGCCUCUGUGCUUCCACCGUCGCUAAGGGAGAGGGAGAGGCGUCUGGUUGAAGCUUCUUGCUGGGACCCAAAAUCGAAGGGGUUAUCCGUAAGGCACGAACUGGAUGCUAAAGACAGCCACCGCUGCCACCUUCUACCACUUUCUGGGUUGAUCUAUGACUCCAAGUUGAGGUUCCUCGCAUUGUUUUGAUUUGAGUUCCUGUUG